rnacentral:rRNA from 1 species
CUUAAGUGGGGAAUAACGCAUCGAAAGAUGUGCUAAUACCGCAUAUUCUCUAAGGAGGAAAGCAGGGGAUCUUCGGACCUUGUGCUUUUGGAGCGGCCGAUGCCUGAUUAGCUAGUUGGUGGGGUAAAGGCCUACCAAGGCAACGAUCAGUAGUUGGUCUGAGAGGACGACCAGCCACACUGGGACUGAGACACGGCCCAGGCUCCUACGGGAGGCAGCAGUGGGGAAUUUUGGACAAUGGGCGAAAGCCUGAUCCAGCAAUGCCGCGUGAGUGUAGAAGGCCUUCGGGUUGUAAAGCUCUUUCAGUCGAGAAGAAAAGAUUGUGAAUAAUACUCACAAUUUAUGACGGUACCGACAGAAGAAGCACCGGCUAACUACGUGCCAGCAGCCGCGGUAAUACGUAGGGUGCGAGCGUUAAUCGGAAUUACUGGGCGUAAAGGGUGCGCAGGCGGCUCUGUAAGUCAGAUGUGAAAUCCCCGGGCUUAACCUGGGAACUGCGUUUGAAACUACAAAGCUAG